AUACGGAGGAUGCAAGCGUUAUCCGGAUUUAUUGGGUUUAAAGGGUGCGUAGGAUGUUCGGAAAGUCAGGGGUGAAAGCCCGGCGCCUAACGCCGGAACUGCCUUUGAUACUUCCGAGCUGGAAUACGGAUGCCGUGGGAGGAAUGAGUAGUGUAGCGGUGAAAUGCAUAGAUACUACUCAGAACACCGAUUGCGAAGGCAUCUCACGAAUCCGUCAUUGACGCUGAGGCGCGAAAGCGUGGGGAUCAAACAGGAUUAGAUACCCUGGUAGUCCACGCAGUAAACGAUGAUGACUAACCGUCGGCGAUACACAGUCGGUGGCCAAGCGAAAGCGAUAAGUCAUCCACCUGGGGAGUACGUUCGCAAGAAUGAAACUCAAAUGAAUUGACGGGG
rnacentral:rRNA from 1 species